UGGGGAAUUUUGGACAAUGGGCGAAAGCCUGAUCCAGCAAUGCCGCGUGUGUGAAGAAGGCCUUCGGGUUGUAAAGCACUUUUGUCCGGAAAGAAAUCCUUGGCUCUAAUACAGUCGGGGGAUGACGGUACCGGAAGAAUAAGCACCGGCUAACUACGUGCCAGCAGCCGCGGUAAUACGUAGGGUGCAAGCGUUAAUCGGAAUUACUGGGCGUAAAGCGUGCGCAGGCGGUUUGCUAAGACCGAUGUGAAAUCCCCGGGCUCAACCUGGGAACUGCAUUGGUGACUGGCAGGCUAGAGUAUGGCAGAGGGGGGUAGAAUUCCACGUGUAGCAGUGAAAUGCGUAGAGAUGUGGAGGAAUACCGAUGGCGAAGGCAGCCCCCUGGGCCAAUACUGACGCUCAUGCACGAAAGCGUGGGGAGCAAACAGGAUUAGAUACCCUGGUAGUCCACGCCCUAAACGAUGUCAACUAGUUGUGGGGAUUCAUUCCUUAGUAACGUAGCUAACGCGUGAAGUUGACCGCCUGGGGAGUACGGUCG
rnacentral:rRNA from 1 species